rnacentral:rRNA from 1 species
CCUACGGGGGGCAGCAGUGGGGAAUAUUGGACAAUGGGGGCAACCCUGAUCCAGCCAUGCCGCGUGUGUGAAGAAGGCCCUCGGGUUGUAAAGCACUUUCAGUGAGGAAGAACGCCUGGUGGUUAAUACCCAUCAGGAAAGACAUCACUCACAGAAGAAGCACCGGCUAACUCCGUGCCAGCAGCCGCGGUAAUACGGAGGGUGCGAGCGUUAAUCGGAAUUACUGGGCGUAAAGCGCGCGUAGGUGGCUUGAUAAGCCGGUUGUGAAAGCCCCGGGCUCAACCUGGGAACGGCAUCCGGAACUGUCAAGCUAGAGUGCAGGAGAGGAAGGUAGAAUUCCCGGUGUAGCGGUGAAAUGCGUAGAGAUCGGGAGGAAUACCAGUGGCGAAGGCGGCCUUCUGGACUGACACUGACACUGAGGUGUGAAAGCGUGGGUAGCAAACAGGAUUAGAUACCCCUGUAGUC